rnacentral:rRNA from 1 species
UGGGGAAUAUUGCACAAUGGGCGCAAGCCUGAUGCAGCCAUGCCGCGUGUAUGAAGAAGGCCUUCGGGUUGUAAAGUACUUUCAGUCGGGAGGAAGGUGGUAAGGUUAAUAACCUUAUCAAUUGACGUUACCGACAGAAGAAGCACCGGCUAACUCCGUGCCAGCAGCCGCGGUAAUACGGAGGGUGCAAGCGUUAAUCGGAAUUACUGGGCGUAAAGCGCACGCAGGCGGUUGAUUGAGUCAGAUGUGAAAUCCCCGGGCUUAACCCGGGAAUUGCAUCUGAUACUGGUCAGCUAGAGUCUUGUAGAGGUGGGUAGAAUUCCAUGUGUAGCGGUGAAAUGCGUAGAGAUGUGGAGGAAUACCGGUGGCGAAGGCGGCCCCCUGGACAAAAACUGACGCUCAGGUGCGAAAGCGUGGGGAGCAAACAGG